UUGUUUUAGUUCGAGGUUCAGGAAGCUGGCGACCCAGGGAGGAGAGGUCUUGUUCUAGAUUGAUUUUUGUGGAGCUGAAGACCCAGGCAGGAGCAACGUUGUUGCAAUUCGAGGAUCCGGAAGCUGGAGACUCAGGGAGGAGACGUCUUGUUCGAGUUUGAGUGUCGUGGAGCUGCCGACCCAGGGAGGAGCAAUUUUGUUGUGGUUCGAGGGUCAGGAAGCUGGCAACUCAGGUAGGAGAAGUUUUGUUCUAGUUUCAGGGUUGUGGAGCUGCAGAUCCAGGGAGGAGCAAGGUUGUUGUAAUUCGAGGGUCAGGAAGCUAAGCGACCCAGGGAGGAGCCUGUGUUGCUGUUGUAGUUUGACGGUCAUGGAGCUGCAGACUCAGGGAGGAGGGGUGCGGUUCUAGUCUGAGGGUUGUGGAGCUUGAGACACAGGGAGGAGCUGGUGCUGCUGUUGUUUAAGGCUGAGGGUUGUGGAGCUGGAGACCCAGGUAAGAGCUGGUGCUGCUGUUGUUUAAGGCUGAGGGUCAUGUAGCUGGAGAGCGGGGAGGAGGUAGUCUUAGUGUCUAAUGUGAGGGUGGUGGAGCUGUGGACCUGGGGUGGGGCCGGUGCUACUCUGUAGUUUGAGGGUCAUGG
rnacentral:lncRNA from 1 species